rnacentral:rRNA from 1 species
UCGAGAAUUUUUCACAAUGGGCGCAAGCCUGAUGGAGCGACGCCGCGUGGGGGAUGAAUGGCUUCGGCCCGUAAACCCCUGUCAUGAGCGAUCAACCCUUUCGACCUAACACGUCGGAAGCUGAUAGUAGCUCAAGAGGAAGGGACGGCUAACUCUGUGCCAGCAGCCGCGGUAAUACAGAGGUCCCAAGCGUUGUUCGGAUUUACUGGGCGUAAAGGGUGCGUAGGCGGUCGGGUAAGUCUGGUGUGAAAUCUCCGAGCUUAACUCGGAAAUGGCAUUGGAUACUAUCCGGCUCGAGAGUUGGAGGGGGGACUGGAAUUCUCGGUGUAGCAGUGAAAUGCGUAGAUAUCGAGAGGAACACCAGUGGCGAAGGCGAGUCCCUGGACAACUUCUGACGCUGAGGCACGAAAGCCAGGGGAGCAAACGGG